AAGCAAUGUUAGCUCACAAGGGAAAGACAAGCUGUGCAUCACACUUAGAACUGAUUAGAAAAAUCCAGUAUCGCUGGUAUAUGGUACCGGACAGACUGGCGCGAAUCUACCCGAACACUACCAGCUUCUGCUGGAGGUGUUUACAGGAAACGGGAACGAUGUACCACAUUUGGUGGACUUGUCCCAAGAUCAAGGGAUGUUGGCGUAUGGUGGGUGACGUAUUAA